rnacentral:rRNA from 1 species
AUUGAACGCUGGCGGCAGGCCUAACACAUGCCAGUCGAGCGGAUGAAGGGAGCUUGCUCCUGGAUUCAGCGGCGGACGGGUGAGUAAUGCCUAAGAAUCUGCCUGGUAGUGGGGGAUAACGUCCGGAAACGGGCGCUAAUACCGCAUACGUCCCGAGGGAGAAAGUGGGGGAUCUUCGGACCUCACGCUAUCAGAUGAGCCUAGGUCGGAUUAGCUAGUUGGCGGGGUAAAGGCCUACCAAGGCGACGAUCCGUAACUGGUCUGAGAGGAUGAUCAGUCACACGGGAACUGAGACACGGUCCAGACUCCUACGGGAGGCAGCAGUGGGGAAUAUUAGACAAUGGGCGAAAGCCUGAUCCAGCCAUGCCGCGUGUGUGAAGAAGGUCUUCGGAUUGUAAAGCACUUUUAGUUGGGAGGAACGGCAGUAAGUUAAUACCUUGCUGUUUUGACGUUACCUACAGAAUAAGCACCGGCUAACUUCGUG